rnacentral:lncRNA from 1 species
UGAGAGGUGUUCAGAAAGGACCAAGGUCAGGGGAAGAUGGAGAAAAAAGUAGCCUCAUGACGCACUGCUACAAUUUCUGUAUGAAGAACGAGAUUUUGGCAAUGAAAACUGCAGCAGUUUGUUGUACAUACACAUAGGGAGCGAAUUUGAAAAUAAAGUGAAUGGUUUAUUCCUGCUGUCCAAAGUUCUGAACGCGUAAAUCCGUCUUAAACACGACUGGACAGUGACUCCUAACUACCGCUUACUGGGUGCCUGGAUGGGUCUUCCAUCAAAGACAUCAGAUUUGAGUGGCCAGCGCCGGCUCCCUUGUCAAGAUUGUCUCGCCCGCGAAGUUCGUCUUCUAGUUAAUUUGCAGGGUUGCCGUUUGUUAUGAAAUGUAAUAUUUGCUUUGGGUAAUAAUAUUUUGUACCAAUAUGUGUAUCAGCCCAAGAAUCGAACUUAACGAGCGUUUUAUUCACGGACUAAGUCCAAGCGCCAAACCAGAAUAUUGCUGGUUUAAUACAGUGGCGGAUUUAGGGGGUGUCAGGGGUCCCCCCCCCCCUUCGAUUUCUGAAAAAAAUCACACCAGUGGUCCCCUCUUGAAAUUAAAAUUUAUACUAGCUGAAUCAUAGUUCAAAACCCUGCCGAAUGGCACCGUUUGACUUCUAACAUACUAAAUAUUCGGCUUCGCACCCCCCUUCAAAUAAUCCUGGAUCCGCCUCUGUAGUACUGUGUGUGUGUGUGUGUGUGUGUGUGUGUGCGCGUGCUUCUUAGUCGCAGUACAGUGCUCUCUCUUCAUCAGUUCUCGAACCUGAACCUGAAACGGCACUUUCGGAAUAGCUCUUAAACAAAAUUAAUGUCGAUAAAAUCUGGCCUUGGUUAAGAGAUGAAUGGAAACAAUAUGAUUAACUGAUCGUUACAAAAUUAUCAAAAACGAUCAAGUGAUUGCCAUAAAAUUAUCAGUAAGCCAUUGCAGAGCACUGUGCAAGUACGACCGGCUUUCUGUUCGGUUGUAAAAUAUUAAACGUGUGGACAAAUAUGUAAUAAGACGAAGUUCUCUUGAAAAAAAUUGCCUGUUUAUCUAAAUAUAAAAAAGAAAUUUUAAUAAAGUUAACUUUUGGAAGGAAAAUGCGUCGCAACUCCAUCACUUAAAUACAUACAGGAAGCUCUCUAGACAUACUGUGUUCAGUUGAAGACGAGAACAAGAUGUAAAUCUACAAUUUAUUGAAAACACUGUAUUAUAACAAAUAAUAACACUUCUGAAAUUACAGGAUUAUGAAGUUGCAGAUGUGCUCACGUUAUUUCAAUUUGCCCACACGUAUUGGAAUCUUAAUAAAAUUGUGAAUAUGCGGUAUGAUACAAGCUAAGAAUAAACUGAGUUUGGUUCUCGGUGUAUUGACGGUGUGUGUCUACCCAGUGACAGACCAAUAUUGUCAGUGCUGGAAGGGGACAAACUGUUGCUUUUGCGCUAUGAAACUAAAGGGUAGGAUAGAUUUUUUUCGAAAUUAAUAUACAUUUGCUACAUGUAUUACAGUGAGGAGAUACUAGUAUAUUUGAUGAGAAAAACUUUUCUGAUUGGACUACCAAAAUUCCCAGCAUAGUGUCGAUUUGUGUGUCAUUCAAGACUUAGUCAAUAUCAUAAAGAAAAUUUAUAGAUCUUCACCAAGAAAUAAGUAAAUCAUAGAAGGUAUUAUUAUGAUGACAUAUUUUGAUUAGCACAUAAGCUGUGGCAAAGAGUAAUGAGUUUUCCUAAUUAUCAAAAUGAAGCUUUGUAGACGGUCAUCUUUUUCAGUCCUCUUCAGCAAAUAAUAAUAAUAAAAAAACAAUUCAACAGGAAAUUUUGAAAAAGUAAUGAUGAUAAUAAUAAAAAUAAUAACACAAAUUAAAAAAUACAUAAACAUGUCCUUGUUUUUGGUAGGGUUCAAGGGGUGAUUUAGAUCAAAAGUCCUAAUUAGAUAUCAGUCCUGUUGGGUUGUUUUUGCUGUUGCUUGAUCACAUAACACUGGAGACCAGAGUCGAGUUUAUGAGAAUUUGCUGAAUGAAUGAUUUAACUUAUUUUGAGAAAACGGAUUUUUGUGUAAACUUUUCACUGUGUUUGCAUAUAAUUCUUAAAAAUGGCUAUAACUGGGAUUAGGUUGUAAACCGAUCAUGUCUUCAUGCUGCCUUUGUUUCGCACGACAAACUAGUGUUUACUAAAAAUGUGCCAUUCACUGCAGCCACGUUUUUUAUGCUUUGAUGCGAAGGAAAGAAAAACGCAACAUACGAGCUACAUAUACAAUUAUCAUAUACAAAGGGCCACUUAUCUUACCAAAAUUAAAUUUUCAAGGUGUUGCGUGCGAUAAUCAGCAUGAUGGCAUAGAAUAAGGCGUGUAGUCCUGAGUGCAUGCGUGCUAGGGGAGGUAAUACGUAAAAGAGAUCCCAUGCAUUUUGGAUUUUUGAUAUCGUAGAUACCACUGCAUUUGGAUAAAGAAAAUGUUCCAUGAAAUUUGCAAUCAUUUAUAAGACAAUUACACUCGUGUCACUUUUGAACAAAAGUUUAGUACUGUAUUAUACGGUCAGUCUUCUCAUUUAUUUAAUAUUUCUGGGCAAAACCCUGGAAACUUUGUUCUUCUUAGUAUUAUGUCCACUGUAAUAUUCCUGGACAUUUUUCAAGAAAAAAUCAAAAGAGUUAGGCGUUUGAGCAGCUUCUUUCAAAAUGCAUAGAAUCACUUUGUUUUAGUUGGAAACAGUGGUAGUUGUUUUAAGCUCGAUUUGUAUUUUGAUUUGUAAUGCUAUGUUGUAUCGGGUACGGCUAUUUGUAUAGAUAAAAAAAUACAAUUUUCAGUUUUUUGAAAUCCUAUGUACGAUGUAAAAAUUUUAAUAACGUGUAUUUUUCAAAUUAUGCAAAAUGUCAAUUUUGCAUUUACUAUAUAGUAGUUUCCUUCACCUCGACUCGAACCCAUGGCUUACUGCUCUCCAUGUUAUAGUGUGCUCGUUCCCCCACGUGUAA